AAGUCGUAACAAGGUAACCGUAGGUGAACCUGCGGUUGGAUCAUUAACAAUUUAAGAGUUUUAGAAACUCUGCUGGAUUCAUCCAGUCAACCUGUGUGCACUGUAAUCGACUGGUGGGCAGCUUCUUCAAUGACUGCCCAACCACUUUAAAAAACUUUUAAACUUGACUGAAUCUGAGACAAUGAGAUACAACUUUUGACAACGGAUCUCUUGGCUCUC
rnacentral:misc_RNA from 1 species